rnacentral:lncRNA from 1 species
UAGAAGUCAGGUCGGAUUAAGCCAUAGUACGGAAAAAACUAUGCUACCUGUGAGCCCCGUCCAAGGACGUUAAAAGAAGUCAGGCCAUCAUAAAUGCCAUAGCUUGAGUAAACUGUGCUGCCUGUAGCUCCACCUGAGAAGGUGUAAAAAAUCUGGGAGGCCACAAACCAUGGAAGCUGUACGCAUGGCGUAGUGGACUAGCGGUUAGAGGAGACCCCUCCCUUACAAAUCGCAGCAAC